rnacentral:rRNA from 1 species
AGCUCAAAUUUGAAAUCUGGCCCCUAGGGCCCGAGUUGUAAUUUGCAGAGGAUGCUUUUGGCGAGGUGCCUUCCGAGUUCCCUGGAACGGGACGCCAUAGAGGGUGAGAGCCCCGUCUGGUUGGACGCCGAGCCUCUGUAAAGCUCCUUCGACGAGUCGAGUAGUUUGGGAAUGCUGCUCUAAAUGGGAGGUAUAUGUCUUCUAAAGCUAAAUACCGGCCAGAGACCGAUAGCGCACAAGUAGAGUGAUCGAAAGAUGAAAAGCACUUUGAAAAGAGGGUUAAACAGUACGUGAAAUUGUUGAAAGGGAAGCGCUCAUGACCAGACUUGGGCCCGGUGAAUCAUCCAGCGUUCUCGCUGGUGCACUUUGCCGGGCUCAGGCCAGCAUCAGUUUGCCUUGGGGGAUAAAGGCUGUGGGAAUGUGGCUCCUCCGGGAGUGUUAUAGCCCACUGCACAAUACCCUGGGGCGGACUGAGGUUCGCGCAUCUGCAAGGAUGCUGGCGUAAUGGUCAUCAGCGACCCGUCUUGAAACACGGACCAAGGAGUCGUCUUCGUAUGCGAGUGUUCGGGUGUAAAACCCCUACGCGUAAUGAAAGUGAACGCAGGUGAGAGCUUCGGCGCAUCAUCGACCGAUCCUGAUGUUCUCGGAUGGAUUUGAGUAAGAGCAUACGGGGCCGGACCCGAAAGAAGGUGAACUAUGCCUGUAUAGGGUGAAGCCAGAGGAAACUCUGGUGGAGGCUCGCAGCGGUUCUGACGUGCAAAUCGAUCGUCAAAUAUGGGCAUGGGGGCGAAAGACUAAUCGAACC